UACUUAGUGGCGGACGGGUGAGUAACGCGUGGGCAACCUGCCCCGUGCCGGGGGAUACCGCCUGGAAACAGGCGCUAAUACCGCAUAAGCGCAUACAGCCGCAUGGCAGUAUGCGGAAAGCUCCGGCGGCACGGGAUGGGCCCGCGCCCGAUUAGCCGGUUGGCGGGGUAACGGCCCACCAAAGCGACGAUCGGUAGCCGGCCUGAGAGGGCGGACGGCCACAUUGGGACUGAGACACGGCCCAAACUCCUACGGGAGGCAGCAG
rnacentral:rRNA from 1 species